UACGAAGGGUGCAAACGUUGCUCGGAAUUACUGGGCGUAAAGCGCGUGUAGGCGGACUGGUAAGUCGGACGUGAAAUCCCUGAGCUCAACUCAGGAACUGCAUCCGAAACUAUCAGUCUGGAGUGGUGGAGAGGGAAGCAGAAUUCCUGGUGUAGAGGUGAAAUUCGUAGAUAUCAGGAGGAACACCAGUGGCGAAGGCGGCUUCCUGGACACUAACUGACGCUGAGACGGCGAAAG
rnacentral:rRNA from 1 species